GAUGAACGCUGGCGGCGUGCCUAAUACAUGCAAGUCGAGCGAACGGACGAGAAGCUUGCUUCUCUGAUGUUAGCGGCGGACGGGUGAGUAACACGUGGAUAACAUACCUCUAUGACUGGGAUAACUUCGGGAAACCGGAGCUAAUACCGGAUAAUAUUUUGAACUGCAUGGUUCACAAGUGAAAGACGGUCUUGCUGUCACUUAUAGAUGGAUCCGCGCUGCAUUAGCUAGUUGGUAAGGUAACGGCUUACCAAGGCAACGAUGCAUAGCCGACCUGAGAGGGUGAUCGGCCACACUGGAACUGAGACACGGUCCAGACUCCUACGGGAGGCAGCAGUAGGGAAUCUUCCGCAAUGGGCGAAAGCCUGACGGAGCAACGCCGCGUGAGUGAUGAAGGUCUUCGGAUCGUAAAACUCUGUUAUUAGGGAAGAACAUAUGUGUAAGUAACUGUGCACAUCUUGACGGUACCUAAUCAGAAAGCCACGGCUAACUACGUG
rnacentral:rRNA from 1 species